rnacentral:rRNA from 1 species
UACGUAGGUGGCUAGCGUUGUCCGGAAUCAUUGGGCGUAAAGCGCGUGUAGGCGGCUUCGUAAGUCCGUUGUGAAAGUCCAGGGCUCAACCCUGGAAUGCCGAUGGAUACUGCGGAGCUAGAGUCCGGAAGAGGCGAGUGGAAUUCCUGGUGUAGCGGUGAAAUGCGCAGAUAUCAGGAGGAACACCAAUGGCGAAGGCAGCUCGCUGGGACGGUACUGACGCUGAGACGCGAAAGCGUGGGGAGCAAACAGG